GCUCUCUGUAGUGUACAUGACCUUCACCCCAGUUAUAUUUUUGAAAUAAUUACAUGAGAGUCUGUCAGUGGUGUCUAUGGGAGAGUUAAACAGAAUUUACAAUUGAGUGGUCUGUUCACCCUUGGAUGUAGCUCAAUGUCUUGAGAUAAAUUUGCAAUUCAAAUGAUAAAAAGUCUGAAAUUCCUUCAAAGCAGCCAUUUCAUUCAGAAUGGUAGUCAAGUGAUGUCUAAAAUUGGAUAGAAUAACCAUAUAGUUGGCUUGCUGACAAUUUUUAUACAAUGGCUAAAUAUUUUGAUUUGAUACAUCUAACCUGAGUUGAAUACUUGUUUAAUUUUAGUGAUAUGUAAUUUUAGUCAAACAGUGGGUCCUAUAGAUCUCAUAUCAAUCCAUGCUAGACAUAGACAUGUGUAAUUGAUUAUUCUUUGGAUCAAAUACAGCCUCAGUAUAUUACCUCGCUGUGCUAAUGAAGUUUGCUGGCAGCACUUGAUUGAGAGGUACUAAUGUAGGAAAAGAAGGCCAAUAUUCUUUGUUGGCUUUUUGCAGUUAAAAUUUAUCCUUGUCAAUGUUCUUAGGGCCUGUGAGAUAAAGUUCCCUCAAAAAUACAUAGCAACAGACCCAAUUAUAACUUUUUAAGAGAGACUCACCUUAAAUAUAAACCAUGCAACCAUCAAUCAUGGGAAAGCAUGAGUGACUAUGUUAGUAUACUUAAAAAAUAGACUUAAGGAAUAUUAUCAGAGAUAACUUCAAAAUAAUAAAAACAAAAUCUGACAGAAUUAAAAUGAGAAAUAGACAAAUGGACAAUUACAUUUCAAUAUUUUAACAAUUCUCUUUAAAAAAUUGCUAGAACAAGCAGAUGAUACAUGAUAAGAAAGAACAUAGAAAA
rnacentral:lncRNA from 10 species